rnacentral:tRNA from 1 species
GCCAGGGUGGCUCAGUGGUUGAGUGUUGGCCUCUGAAGCAGGAGGUCACGGUGGUUCGAUUCCCCGUCAGGGCA